rnacentral:lncRNA from 1 species
UUAUUUUAAGUGUUUUAUUUUUAUAUUUUUAUAUUUCAAAGGCCAAAGGAGGGCUCGUCUUCUCAGCCCUUCGAUCAUGAUCAAAACGGCUCUUGGCGCUUCCAAGUUCCUCUCAGACCUUCCCUCUCGUGGCCACCUCUCUUCCACCAUCAUCUCCUCAAAUCUGGUUUUGCCUUCUUCUUUUUUCCUUUCUUACUUUCAAUUUCAUCUUUAAUCCCGAUUGUUAUUGUUGAUUCUUAAUUUUUGAGCUUUGGUUGCUGAGAAAAUGUGAAGAUUGAUAAGUGUAAUAAAGUGAGUAGUUUUACUGAAUUCAGCUUAAAACAUGGGUUAUGGUUAGCUCAAGAAGAUAAUCUUAAAGUAGGAUCCAAUGGUUUUAGCAGCGGAAUAAAUUGAUUUAGGGUUCUGAAUUGAGGUUUUAGGCUAUCUUGAAUUAGUUUGUUUCUUGAUGAUACUACAAACGUGGUGAAAUUAUGUUUGAUUAAUGGUUGCUAGGGUUUGACGAUGGAGAGCAAUUGGUUACUUGAGCUAAUGAAAAUCUAAGAUGGGUCUUUGGUGAACCACACCAAAAGCUAGCUGUUGAGGUUUGAGAGCAUAGAUCCAUAUAAACCUCAUAAGGAAUUCGCAUACUUUCUUAUGUAAUAUGUUUUGAGACCGAGUUACUGUCAGGCGUUUGUAUAUAGAGAUGUGUUCUAAAGUAUGAUAUCUUCCAAAUUGCCAUCUUCGGUUGUCUUUAGUAAAUUAGUUUCGGAGGCCUUAGUUCAGCUUAGGAUAAUUUCCUGUCAGUUUUGGGUACCAAACACUUGGAUGCAACAACUGAAUACAAUAUCAUGUUUGCUUGUUGCGCAUUUUCUUCCAAGCAUGUUAGCCAGGGUUUUGCAGUUUAACAUUUGACUUGGAAAGUAGAGGUCAAGUAUGUAUUUGACCUAUUGAAAAUUCUUUAAGAGUGAAAUGCUUUAUUUCUAGACAGUGUUAGGGUUUGUAUAUAAAGUCUUGUUUAACGUAUGAUAUCUUGGAGUUGCUAUUAUCAGUUGUCUGUAGUAAAAUUCUUAGUUUCGGUUUGGGAUAGUUUCCCGUGAGUUUUGGGUACCAAACACUUGAAUGUACAAAUUAAAUACAGUGUCAUGUUUGCCUGUUUAGCAUUCUCUUGUAAGCAUGCUUUAUGAUUGUUCCUUUCAUCUGUUAAGUAAUGAAGGAUUAGGAAAUUGCUGGUCUGGCACUGGAGGUCUUAUCCUUUAUGUUUGGAUUUUGGACAUGUUAUGGUCUUUCUUUAGAAUGUCCUGUGCUCCUCUCUUCAGCCUACAUCAAUUUCCCCAUGUGUUCUGUGUGUCAAUGGAGAUUAGAUACUUCUCAAAGGAUAGCUUUUUGUAUUAUCUCUCUGUAUUUGUUUUCUUUAACAAUUACCUUAACUCUAUCUUGCCACACAAAAGCGUCGCACAUCAGGAUCCUGGAAGAUAGUAAGACAGUGGAGCCCCCUACCCACUUAGCUUCUUUUAUUGCCCUGCUUUUGUUUCCAUUUAUCAUUGGAACUCUUUAAGUAUUUCAUGCUAU